CGCCGCUCUGCUUCUGGCGGCCUGCGUGUACAGGAAGCUCAGAAAGCGUAGGAGUGACGAGGAUGAAAAUGUGGCCUCAGAAGCAAUUUACAUGAACACACGACCUCCUGGGUGGCGUCAGAAAGAAGCUCAGUAACCAAGAACAUCGCGGAGCAUCAAACUAAAUCUCCAUAAACUCUUUAUCUUUAGUAUUUACGUUGUUCAGUCUUCAUUUGGUCAUUUUUCUAUUUUA